rnacentral:rRNA from 1 species
CNCGNNAAAACCUUACCUACCCUUGACAUGUACGGAACUUGCCAGAGAUGGCUUGGUGCUCGAAAGAGAGCCGUAACACAGGUGCUGCAUGGCUGUCGUCAGCUCGUGUCGUGAGAUGUUGGGUUAAGUCCCGCAACGAGCGCAACCCUUGUCAUUAGUUGCUACAUUUAGUUGGGCACUCUAAUGAGACUGCCGGUGACAAACCGGAGGAAGGUGGGGAUGACGUCAAGUCCUCAUGGCCCUUAUGGGUAGGGCUACACACGUCAUACAAUGGCUGGUACAAAGGGUUGCCAACCCGCGAGGGGGAGCUAAUCCCAUAAAGCCAGUCGUAGUCCGGAUCGUAGUCUGCAACUCGACUGCGUGAAGUCGGAAUCGCUAGUAAUCGUGGAUCAGAAUGUCACGGUGAAUACGUUCCCGGGUCUUGUACACACCGCCCGUCACACCAUGGGAGCGGGUCUCGCCAGAAGUAGUUAGCCUAACCGCAAGGGGG